rnacentral:rRNA from 1 species
GACGAACGCUGGCGGCGUGCUUAACACAUGCAAGUCGAACGGAAAGGCCUGCUUUCCCUUGUGGAUUGCGGGUACUCGAGUGGCGAACGGGUGAGUAACACGUGAGUGAUCUGCCCCCAACUUGGGUAUAAGCCUGGGAAACUGGGUCUAAUUCCCGAUAGGACUGCAGGGUGGUGCCUGUGGUGGAAAACGAUUUUCUAGUGGUUGGGGAUGAGCUCGCGGCCUAUCAGCUUGUUGGUGGGGUAAUGGCCUACCAAGGCGGCGACGAGUAGCCGGCCUGAGAGGGUGGACGGCCACAUUGGGACUGAGAUACGGCCCAGACUCCUACGGGAGGCAGCAGUGGGGAAUAUUGCACAAUGGGCGGAAGCCUGAUGCAGCGACGCCGCGUGGGGGAUGACGGCCUUCGGGUUGUAAACUCCUUUCGACCGCGAGGAAGCCACCUGGUUGGAAGGGUGGUGACGGUAGUGGUAGAAGAAGCACCGGCUAACUACGUG